rnacentral:tRNA from 1 species
GCUGGGGUGGCGAAAUUGGUAGACGCGCACGCUUGAGGGGCGUGUAGGGCAACCUGUGUGGGUUCAAGUCCCAUCCUCAGCACCA